rnacentral:rRNA from 1 species
UACGUAGGGUGCGAGCGUUGUCCGGAAUUAUUGGGCGUAAAGAGCUCGUAGGCGGUCUGUCGCGUCGGCUGUGAAAUCCCGGGGCUCAACCCCGGGCCUGCAGUCGAUACGGGCAGACUAGAGUGCGGUAGGGGAGACUGGAAUUCCUGGUGUAGCGGUGAAAUGCGCAGAUAUCAGGAGGAACACCGGUGGCGAAGGCGGGUCUCUGGGCCGUAACUGACGCUGAGGAGCGAAAGCGUGGGGAGCAAACAGG